CGGACCGGUCUAACGGCUACAGCUCCCGUCUGCAGAUGCUGGAAACACCGGACAUCUCUCUCCUCGUCGGAGCAGGUUAUUAAUGCCCGGGUCGCGCCUUUGUGAAACUUAUAUAAUCUAAAACACGCUUUCCUUUUUGAGGCAGGGGCCUUGGCAGCUUGAUUGAGGAUUAGAUCCUCAAAGAAGUUUCUUCUUUCUCUGCUAGUGGGGACCUUGAUGUGGAAAACCUCUCCGUACUCCAUCCGAAACAAUUCCUGCACCUGAGACAUGAAAAGUGAGAGGGUGUCACUCUGCUUCCCAUACCUCCACGCUGAGUUGGUCAUAGUGCAGGUUGCACGUAGCCAGAAGCAGUAUAGGAGCAAAGGCAGGGAUGGAGCUGAGCAGGCUGAGGAAGGUGGCUCUUAAGGCCGGACCCACUGUUUCCCACCACUGUCCAAUGUGAGGGAUGUACAGGAUACUGGGAGAGGUCCGCUUUGCUUCAACAAAGAUCUACAGAACAUAUGACAUAGACGCAUUAAUAUAUGAAAUGGAUAUUUAAAAAACUGAAUGUAAACUUACAGAUACAUAAGAUGGGGGACAAUAUGAUGAGCCAAUAAAGGCUAAAUGCAUAAAUCAAAGGUAUGGUGAGGACAUUAAAGAGUAGAGAGGAGAUGUACGGUGGCAUUAAACCAAUGGUGGAAGAAACAGUCAAUUAGUUUGAACAACCACUUUAAAAAUGAAUGACUUGUCAUUUUAAGCAAAAUAAAAAUGGGAGAAAAAACCCAA